GAUGAAGAACGUAGUGAAAUGCGAUAAGUAGUGUGAAUUGCAGAAUUCAGUGAAUCAUCGAAUCUUUGAACGCACAUUGCGCCCCUUGGUAUCCCGAGGGGCAUGCCUGUUCGAGCGUCAUUUCACCACUCAAGCCUGGCUUGGUGUUGGGCGACGUCCCCUUUGGGGACGCGCCUCGAAACGCUCGGCGGCGUGGCACCGGCUUUAAGCGUAGCAGAAUCUUUCGCUUUGGAAGUCGGGGCCCCGUCUGCCGGAAGACCUACUCGCAAGGUUGACCUCGGAUCAGGCAGGGAUACCCGCUGAACUUAAGCAUCUCAAUAAGCGGAGGA
rnacentral:misc_RNA from 1 species